rnacentral:lncRNA from 1 species
UUUUUUUUUUUUUUUAAUUUAAAGAUUUUAUUUAUUUAUUUGAGGGGGAUGUGCAGAGGGAGAGGGAGAAGCAGACUCCCCGCUGAGCAGAGAACCUGAUGUGGGACUCGACCCCAGGACCUCAAGAUUAUCUCGGUCACUCCUUGAGUUUCUGUGUCCUCCUCGGUAAAGUGCUUUGUAUGUGGUAGGCGCCCAAUAGGUGCACCCAAUAGGUGCAGCUUCUUUUUCUUCUUCACCCAUUUUACAUUUCUUCUGAUUCACCCCGACUUAGGGAUGCUUUCUCGCAAGCUCCAGAGCCGUCAUAGAAUACAGAUUGCGUCUUAGCCUCUGCGCUGAUCGUUACGGGUUGUGUUUUAUCUUAAAUCUCUUGCCUACGUUAUUACUAUUAUUAUUCCGCCUAUUACUAUUAUUAUUAUUCCGUAUAUGUUAGUGCUGCUAAGGAGCCAGUGUAAGCGGAUGUGGGGUCUAAUUACUGUUCCCAGGCUGUUUCUUUGUCAAGUCUAACUAGCCGGUUUACAAUGAGGUUGCGGAAUGUGAUGUGUUCAGGGAUCUAUCACAGAAAGUUCUUCCCUCGGAUUCUAUUCUGCACAAUCUCCCGAAAAUCCAAUACUUUCCUCUACUUAUAAAUUUUAGUUGUUUCUUUCUUCUUUAAAAAAAUAUUUUAUUUAUUUAUUCAUGAGAGACACAGAGAGAGGCAGAGACACAGGCAGAGGGAGAAGCAGGCUCCCUGCAGGGAGCGCAAUGUGAGACUCGAUCCCUGAACCUAGGAUUAUGACCUGGGCCAAAGGCAGAUGCUCAACCACUGGGCCACCCAGGCGUCCUUAGUCCUCAUUUCUAAAAUGAAAUUCCAUGUCGCAGCCAAUUAUGCUGCCCAUGUACAUAUUACUGGAUUCAGCCAAUGUGGUUUUGAUCAGCACGUUGAUGUAUUUUUCUUCAUGUGUUUUCUACCUGUUGUUUUCACCGGAUUCAGAAAACCAUCAGUACCGAUUGCUUCAAGUAUUUUUCCACUUUCCUCUUUUUUCCCCCAAGACUGUAAUCACACAUAUAUUUGGUUGAUUGAAUCCCGCUUUGGCUCCCUGCUCAGCGGGGAGUCUGCUUCUCCCUCUGCCCCUCCCCCGGCUCAUGCUUGCUCAAAUAAAUACAUAGUUUUUAAAAGAAAAAAAAAACGAAGCAGCACAGCAACCGCUGUCCCUCCAGCACUGUCCACAGACGAAAUCUAAGCCCUGUGCUUGCUGGUAAAGGAGAAAUGGUGCGGAUCCAGUAACAGAAGCAGGACAGAGAAGGACAGAGGAGGAGGAGGAGUGGAAAUGCACUAAUGACCUCCCAGUGCCCCAGGGUGCCUGGACCUGUGCCCCCAGGUGACAAAGUUUCUAAGCUGAGGCCUCAGAGGCCCCAAGAGACAACCAGACUUUCCACGAGGCUCCGGCAUGAGCAUGGACAGGAGGUAAGUAGAGCCACGGGCAUCCACGCACACACCCCGCGACCAAGCCCAGGCUGCAGGAAGACAGACUGGGAAACUGGGAAGUGCUGGUCCCCUCAAAGAGGACCAAGAGGUUUGCACUUCCUCCUGAAGGCCAAGGGGAGCCCGUGAAGGGGUUAACACAGAAUGGUGUAAGCACAGUGAGGUGCUUAGAAGACCAUCUGGAUCAUUUUCUGAAGGAUGGGCGGUGGGUCAGGGCUGCGAGUAGGGUUUUGGGGCAGGUGACCCCAGCAGUGAUGUGCCCUGGAGUGGGUGACAGCCCCAGUGGGCUUCGGGCAGUGGGCACAGAUGGAUCGAGUCCGAACGUUAAAGAGGCAAAACUGGGCGGAACCGGUGCUGUCCUCAAAAGAGGGGGCGAGGGGACAGGCGUCAGGGUGACAUCCAUGCUUCUUGCCUGGGCAACUGUCUGAUUUGUGCAGUUGGAGGUGAGGACAGGGCAAAGGGGACAUCACCUUACACAUGUGUGAGGCACCUGUGGGGCCUCCGGGAGCAGCGUCCGGGGAGCCAGUGAUGGGUCAGCAGGUCAGGAGCCCAGGAGGAGCGUCUGGAACGCAAGGCACAGAUGCCAGAAUCACGAGCAUGCCACUGGUACCUAAGGCAGAAGAGCGUCACCAUGGGUUACGGUUCGGAGCCCUGGGCAUGUGCUGUGGGAGUAGAACCGGAUCAGAAUCCCGGCGUCCUCAUCUCCCUUGGCCAUCCUUCCCUGAGGCGUCCCACAGAAGGGGCUACCGUGGGGAUGAAGCCCCCUGCUGGAUGGAAAUCUGCACACCAUCACAGGGUAAGCUUCCCAAGAAACACCACGGGGCCAGGGGCCUCUGUCUGUUUGUUUGGCUUUGGAACCAUACCCUGGAUGUAGCAGGUGCUCAAUAAGAAAUGAUAGAAUAAGCAAAUAGGUUACCUGUUGACCUUCUUUCCCUAAAUCACCCCUGAAGUUCUCUUCUCCCUUGACUUCCACAAUGUGUGAUGGUCUGGCCAUGGGUACUUUUUUUAACCAUUUCUCCUUGUAUUUCUUCUUUUUUUGGGAAUGUUACGGAAGCUCAGCCCCUUGUCCAUCUUUCUGGGACAUCUCAGUGACUCCGUCACCUCUGGCUCCCGUGAUCACCUUCAUCUGGGCAGAAUCCUGAAUCUGGAACUCCAGCUCCUCACCCACACUUUAGUCUGUAAUCACAGUACAUGUCUAGUCCCAUGUCCUGCUGGAUCAUGAAGCAGAUGGAUGAAGAUGAACUCAUCAUCUCACAGCUAUUCUCCUUUCUUACCGUCCAUUUCUGACCAGUUUUCAUGGAACACAUACUGAAUUGCGAUCCUACGGCAUUCAGGCACCGUUCUAGACUGUGGGAAUACCCUGGUGCACGAGACAAAGUCCCUGCCCUCGUGGGGGCUUGUGUUCUAGAGGUUUCUAGGCCAGACCCACAGGAGCAUAUGCCACCUAAAAUGUGGUACACACACCAUAUACAUCAGUCACACCCAGGAGCUUAGUAGAAAUGCCAGUUCUCAAGCAGCAUCCCAGGCACACUGAGUCAAGGCUGUGCGUUAGGGGCCCAGCAUUCGGUGCCUACCCAGCCCUGCAGCAAUGCCCUCAUCAUCUCAGACCCCCCUCUAUUCAUACCUGGGAAACCUGAAGAUUCCUCCUGUGGCCCUCUCCAUCCCCAUCUUCAUCUGGAACCUUUGAACCUCACAUAUGCAUUGUUGGAAAAUCUAAUCAAUCUGUUUUCUGGCUCCAUGCUGUUGGAUGGAGGACUUUUCUCAAAUCCUGCCUUCACCGACAACAAUGAUAAAAAACUCACUGUGGAGGUUUAAGUCAUCUGUUCAAGGAAAUAACAGCUUCUCUGGACCUGAGAGCUGUGUCAUGUACCCUAGGGCUGCUGUAACAAGGUACAUGGAUUGGGCGGCUUCCAAGAGAAAUUCACUCUCGCAGUUUUGGAGGUGGCUUCCCUCUGUGGGCUCUGGUGGCAGCGGGCAGUCCUCAUACCCCUUGCUUUGUAAACACGUGACCACAAGCUUGGCCUCCCUGUCC